GACGAACGCUGGCGGCGUGCCUAAUACAUGCAAGUGGGACGCAAGGAAACACACUGUGCUUGCACACCGUGUUUUCUUGAGUCGCGAACGGGUGAGUAACGCGUAGGUAACCUGCCUAUUAGCGGGGGAUAACUAUUGGAAACGAUAGCUAAUACCGCAUAAUAUUAAUUAUUGCAUGAUAAUUGAUUGAAAGAUGCAAGCGCAUCACUAGUAGAUGGACCUGCGUUGUAUUAGCUAGUUGGUAAGGUAAGAGCUUACCAAGGCGACGAUACAUAGCCGACCUGAGAGGGUGAUCGGCCACACUGGGACUGAGACACGGCCCAGACUCCUACGGGAAGCAGCAGUAGGGAAUCUUCGGCAAUGGACGAAAGUCUGACCGAGCAACGCCGCGUGAGUGAAGAAGGUUUUCGGAUCGUAAAGCUCUGUUGUAAGUCAAGAACGUGUGUGAGAGUGGAAAGUUCACACAGUGACGGUAGCUUACCAGAAAGGGACGGCUAACUACGUG
rnacentral:rRNA from 1 species